ACAUCAUUUCAAAGAGAGCUUGUGGGAUCAAAACCAGGAGCUCUUAAUGCUGUGACCAAAGAUUGAAAUUCUCCAUAGGAUGUAAUAGUCAUUCAAUAAUGCUACAUUGUCCUGAGGACAUAUAAGA
ensembl:snoRNA